ACAACUUGAAAUAAUGUCAAGAUGAAGCGGUGAAUAUUUAGUUCGAUAAUGUGAAACUUAUAAACUAAAAAAAAGUAAAGAACUAGAACAUCUACAUAGAAGGAGAACGACGUUUAUAAUGAUGUAUAUUUUAUUCUUGCGGCUCAAUUUGGCAGUGUACAGAAAGGAAUUGUUCAGAUAUGACAGCCUAGUGGAACUCGCGCCACCAUCCCCACAGGAUGAUAUUUCGUUCUUUUUUGCGGAAAAAUAUUUGAAAAUCGUUCAUUCGGUGGUUUAACAAGGUUACCACAUCUUUUUUGGGCCAAAAAGUUGCCAUCUACAUAUAAAAAUUAAUAUGGCAUCAAACAAUUUAUCGGCUGCUUACGAGCAUGUGUACACACAAAUGUGAGUGUGUGGAUCGUUCUGAAAUUCAUGUAUGUUGUCGCAAUUUCAACCAAAACCCACCCCUUCGUAAUUAAUGGUGUAUGGUGGUGUGUAAUUAAUGCAGUAUUUAUUUGUAAAUAUAAUUAGACUUUUGCACUGUUAUAAUGUAAAUAACCACAACUUUCCAAAAGCUGUUUUCAGCAUCUUCAACCCUUAUCCAAAUAUUGUUGUUGUAAUUGCAAGACCAAAAGCACAACACAUUCUUUCACAAACCGUAUUAUUUCGUACUGAUUGAUUGAGUUGCUUGUUGUGAAAGAAACAUUUAUUUUUCGUUCCAAGUAUAU